rnacentral:rRNA from 1 species
UUUCAUCAAACAAGCCCUUAAACUUAAGAGUUAUUCAAAUUAGGCACAGCUUAUUUGAAACAGGAUACAACCUCCACCACCGGGUAAACAAGGGUAGUCAAAACUAAGUGGGCCUAAAAGCAGCCACCUUUCAAAAAGCGUCAAAGCUUAUCUACUCCAACCCCCAAUUUCUAAAAUACUCCCUAACCCUUCAUUCCUACUGACCCCUUUUAUAUUGUUAUAAAAAUAAUUAUGCUAGAACUAGUAACAAGAAGUCGCCCUUCUCCAUAAUGUAAGUAUAAACCAAAAUGGACCUUCCAUUGGUAAUUAACGUAAAUGCAAACCCCAUAAUAACAUAACCAGAAAACCUUAUGGCCCCCCACGUUACCCUAACACUAGAACAUUACAGGAAAGAUUAAAAGAGAAAGAAGGAACUCGGCAAAUUUUAACCCCGCCUGUUUACCAAAAACAUCGCCUCUUGAUUAAACAUAAGAGGUCCAGCCUGCCCAGUGACAAAAUUCAACGGCCGCGGUACACUAACCGUGCGAAGGUAGCAUAAUCAUUUGUUCUUUAAAUAGGGACUAGUAUCAACGGCAUCACGAGGGUUAUACUGUCUCCUGUCUCUAAUCAGUGAAACUGAUCCCCCCGUGAAGAAGCGGGGAUUUAGCUAUAAGACGAGAAGACCCCAUGGAGCUUUAAACCCAACAUGCACCCACCCACCCAAACACCAACUUAACCUAGAGGACCUGCAUGUUGGUUUUAGGCUGGGGGGGCCACGGAGUAAAAUUAAACCUCCACAACAAAUGGGCUAACACCCUUAUCCGUGAUUUUACAAAUCUAAGAAUUACCAAAAUAAUGUUUAAUGACCCGAUAAUUCGAUCAAUGAACCAAGUUACCCUGGGGAUAACAGCGCAAUCUACUUCAAGAGCUCUUAUCGACAAGUAGGUUUACGACCUCGAUGUUGGAUCAGGGUAUCCUAGUGGUGCAACCGCUACUAAUGGUUCGUUUGUUCAACGAUUAAAACCCUACGUGAUCUG